rnacentral:rRNA from 1 species
UACGUAGGGUGCAAGCGUUGUCCGGAAUUAUUGGGCGUAAAGAGCUCGUAGGCGGUCUGUUGCGUCGGCUGUGAAAACCCGGGGCUCAACCCCGGGCCUGCAGCCGAUACGGGCAGACUAGAGUUCGGCAGGGGAGACUGGAAGUUCCUGGUGUAGCGGUGAAAUGCGCAGAUAUCAGGAGGAACACCGGUGGCGAAGGCGGGUCUCUGGGCCGAUACUGACGCUGAGGAGCGAAAGCGUGGGGAGCGAACAGG